CUAAGUGCUGGCCGCUCUGAGUGGUCAUUCACACGCCAGCUUUGCCGCGGAGGAAGAUUGGAUGAACACGCGCUUUUCUGAACAAAUUGGGUGACAAGCAGGUCGAGCCGUGUUCAACAGCCUCCCAGAAACUGGAAAUCCAGAAUUUUAUGUGAAGCCCUCAGUUUUUCAGUGUUGGCAGCUCAGUGGGCCCAACAAUCCGCAUCAGCAGAAGCCUGCCAGUCCACCACAUGUGGCUCGAACGCAGCAGGCUGGCACGCGAUGUGCCACUUGGGCGAGUUUAAGGAGAGUGCAAAGUUCUCCAAAACCAAAUAGCUGUGACAACUUUUUCUGCUCAUGCCUUCAUCUCCCAAGGAACACUACACAUCAGGGACUAGACUCCGUUUUCAGGAAAUGCUGACACGACUUUGAAAACCUCCUUCAGGAAGAGCCCAGAGCACAGCUCGGAGCCAGUCUACAGGCCCUUAGAGGCCCGAAGUCACCACCAAGAGGCCUCUGGUUGCACGGCCCUGCCAAACCACAGCACACCCCAUGGAACGCCCUGCACGUUUCUUUUCAAUUCAAACCUGCACGCAUUUACUUUUUCUGGCAUCGUCAUUCUUUCCUGUGGAUCAGAGUCUCCAUCUGGUACUAUUUCCCUUGAGCCUAAAAAAUUUCUGUCACAUUUUUUGUAGUUCAGACUUGCUGGCAAUGGAUUUAUUCUCCCAGCUUUUGUAUAUCUAAAAAUGUCUAUUCUGUGUGCACUUUUGAAGGACACUUUUGCUAGAUAUAGAACUCUUGGCCGAAAGUUUGGUGUUUUUUCCCUUCAGAAUUUAAAGAUGUCUUCUGACUGUCAUUGUUUCUGAUGAGCCAUAAUUCUUACCACUUUUUCCCUCGAGGUGGUCUGACUAUUUUCACUGUGUGGUUUACAUUUGCUUGUCAGGAGUUUGAAUGAUAAGCCUA